UGUAGAUUCAACUUCGUUUGUUUUUACAACAUGUGUAGAAGAGGAAUUUGAAAAAUUUACCCUGAUUCCACCCACAGAGGUUUAUUCCUGACCUCUUUCGAUGGAAUGACGCUUAAUUACUAUGACACCUGUGCUCAGAGGACAGCUCCGAAGCCUCUGAAGCCUCUGAAGAGCUGAUCCAUUCAGGAUGGGAAACCACGCAGGCAAACGAGAAUUAAACACCGAGAAGGCCAGUACGUGAAAUUAAGUCCAGGGAGCGUAAACUUUGUUUUUGCUGAUGGAGGUGUCCUCAGGCCCAAGUGGUCCAUGCACACAGCGGGUGCCGAUGUUGAGGGACUGUUUGUUAAAGGAAUGAAUCCUGACUGCCCAGGGUGUCUACGGAACAUCUCCAGACAUGCUCCUGCCCAGAGGCAGGUCCAGACGCCACAAGACUGGGUGACAUCUGAGGACAUCAAUGUGAAGAGGGCAGGAAAAGCCAUCCAUCCUCCCUGGAGAACAGCAGAGGUGGGACUGAAGCCCAGACACGUCAAGCCUCCAAGACAAACCUCCAAAUCCAACAUGCUGUCUGUCCCUCUCUUACACUUCCUCUUGCAAUUAUGUGUUGAAACCGACCCCUGUCACCAUACCUGUUUCACAGAAAGGAAAGCCUGAUCACUGAGAAAGUCACUUCCUUCCGGUCAUCCAAACCCAUGCCUGGAUUGCUGUGACACGGCUGUCAUGCCAUUGAGCGCUCAAUUCCCCGGGAAAUGUUUCCUUUCUGAUCUGACUCCAGCGUGCUGGCAAUUGACAGACCUAUUCGUGUAAAAUUUCUGUUUUAUAGGUAAGUCACAUAAGCAGAUUUUUUGAGAACUCAUGUAAUUCUUAAAUUAGUCAUUUAAUAUAUGUUUAAAAGCUUAGGGAACUGAAAAGUAGGGGCUAAAGACAUUCACCGAUCUCGCCUGACGCUUGGACACAUGCAGGCACUGAGCAAUGCCUGGAAAAUCCUUAGAUUGUGUGGGUGCCGACAGGCUUUUUAUUGGACCUUAUCUUCAGCAGAGUUUAGAACUCUUUCACACACACCUCACACAUGACAAACCUCUAGAAAACUCUUGAACUCAAUAGCAGAAUAUGAGAUGAUCUCUUAGUAGGUAGACAGGGCAUGAAAAUGGCCACACGACGUGGUAACAGCUCGCAUUUGUUGGUAACUUACUAUCCAGACACCCCACUGCGCCACCUUCCAGUGGGAUGUUCUGUAAUAAUGGAGAUGUGCUGCCUGGUGACACGUUAGCCUCUAGACACAUGUGGCCCACAGCACAUGAAACGAGACCCAUAUAACUGAACAACUGUGUUUUCAAUGUCAUGUAUUUUUAAGCAAUUUAGAUGGAAAUGGCCACAGUUGCGAGCGGCUCCCCCCGGGAAAGCAGAGCUCUCCUGCAUACUGGCUAUGGCGACCCCUUAUUCUCCCAUUGCCCUACAAGACAGGUAUUAGCUC